UGUACUACAAUUCUUUGAUUUAUAAUGUACCAAUCACUUGUCACUUGUUGAAUAACCUCUGUGUGUUUGACAACUGUGUGCAGUGACCUAUCGCUCUUGUGAACCUCGAGAUGAUUCCUCACAUGAAGCCAACUCCCACUGUCACACAUGCAAGAGUUAUGAUGGUGUCUGACUAUACCUAAGGCACCUCCUGAUUGUUAAUCAUGUUUUAUGUGUUUAUACUAUGCAUAGCUGCAUCAGUUUCUUAUUAUGUCUUUGCUGGUUUCCCCUUCCCCUUGAGAAUUAUCAUUCUGUAACUAGGGCCUCCUAAUGAAAUAAAAAGAGGAGAACGGCCUUGAGUCAUCAGAACGUGUGGAGACUGUUGGUUUUGAUGCCCACUCUCUGCCCGUUCUCCUCAUGAGUAAAACUGAAUUAAUCUCUUGUCUUUCUUCUUGUUUAUAAUGUUUAGAUAAACCUAACAUUUACUUGGUGGAGAUGCCGGAUCCCAAAAAUACCUGAGGACUCCAACGGACGUUAAGAAUCCAGAAAGACCGUGGCCACGGCCCUCUGCUACGAGGUGACAUACCCUUUCCGGGCUGGUUAUCUUAUCGCCGGUUGGAGUCUGACGGUUGACGGGGGAACCGAGGGAGAAAGACAACAGACUUGACCUAUCGCUCUUGUGAACCUCGAGAUGAUUCCUCACAUGAAGCCAACUCCCACUGUCACACAUGCAAGAGUUAUGAUGGUGUCUGACUAUACCUAAGGCACCUCCUGAUUGUUAAUCAUGUUUUAUGUGUUUAUACUAUGCAUAGCUGCAUCAGUUUCUUAUUAUGUCUUUGCUGGUUUCCCCUUCCCCUUGAGAAUUAUCAUUCUGUAACUAGGGCCUCCUAAUGAAAUAAAAAGAGGAGAACGGCCUUGAGUCAUCAGAACGUGUGGAGACUGUUGGUUUUGAUGCCCACUCUCUGCCCGUUCUCCUCAUGAGUAAAACUGAA